AAAUUACCCAAGGGGAGCUCCAUAAGCCGGGGCUGAGAGGAAGACGGAAGUCUUCGACCCUUAGAACCUGAACCGGGUAAUACCGGCGGAGGGAUGGGAAAUUAUCCCUCC
rnacentral:ncRNA from 2 species